rnacentral:rRNA from 1 species
CCUACGGGAGGCAGCAGUGAGGAAUAUUGGUCAAUGGGCUUACGCCUGAACCAGCCAAGUCGCGUGAGGGAAGACUGCCCUAUGGGUUGUAAACCUCUUUUGUCAGGGAGCAACGCCGGCUACGUGUAGCCGGACUGAGAGUACCUUAAGAAAAAGCAUCGGCUAACUCCGUGCCAGCAGCCGCGGGAAUACGGAGGAUGCGAGCGUUAUCCGGAUUGAUUGGGUUUAAAGGGUGCGUAGGCGGAAUGCCAAGUCAGCGGUAAAAUCGGGGGGCUCAACCUCGCUCCGCCGUUGAAACUGGCGUUCUUGAGUGGGCGAGAAGUAUGCGGAAUGCGUGGUGUAGCGGUGAAAUGCAUAGAUAUCACGCAGAACUCCGAUUGCGAAGGCAGCAUACCGGCGCCCAACUGACGCUGAAGCACGAAAGCGUGGGUAUCGAACAGGAUUAGAUACCCCUGUAGUC